rfam:Hordeum vulgare subsp. vulgare, WGS project CAJW01000000 data, contig: morex_contig_41621
CAUAUACUCCCUCCGUCCCAAAAUUAUUGUCUUAGGUUUGUCUAGAAAUGAAUGUAUCAAAAUACUAAAACAUGAUUAGAUACAUUUAUAUCUAAACAGAUUUAAGACAAGAAUUUUGAGACGGAGGGAGUACAUU